AUGGCGACCGGCGCACGGGUGAGUAACGCGUAUCCAACCUGCCCUUUACUAUGGGACAGCCCGUCGAAAGGCGGAUUAAUACCGUAUGUUGUCAUGUUGAUGCAUAUUUUCAUGACCAAAGGCCUCGGCCGGUAAAGGAUGGGGAUGCGUCUGAUUAGCUUGCCGGCGGGGUAACGGCCCACCGGGGCGACGAUCAGUAGGGGUUCUGAGAGGAAGGUCCCCCACAUUGGAACUGAGACACGGUCCAAACUCCUACGGGAGGCAGCAG
rnacentral:rRNA from 1 species